rnacentral:rRNA from 1 species
GAGUUUGAUCCUGGCUCAGGAUGAACGCUGGCGGCGUGCUUAACACAUGCAAGUCGAACGAGCGAGAGAGAGCUUGCUUUCUCGAGCGAGUGGCGAACGGGUGAGUAACGCGUGAGGAACCUGCCUCAAAGAGGGGGACAACAGUUGGAAACGACUGCUAAUACCGCAUAAGCCCACGGCUCGGCAUCGAGCAGAGGGAAAAGGAGCAAUCCGCUUUGAGAUGGCCUCGCGUCCGAUUAGCUAGUUGGUGAGGUAACGGCCCACCAAGGCGACGAUCCAUAGCCGGCCUGAGAGGGUGAACGGCCACAUUGGGACUGAGACACGGCCCAGACUCCUACGGGAGGCAGCAGUGGGGAAUAUUGCACAAUGGGGGAAACCCUGAUGCAGCGACGCCGCGUGAAGGAAGAAGUAUCUCGGUAUGUAAACUUCUAUCAGCAGGGAAGAUAGUGACGGUACCUGACUAAGAAGCCCCGGCUAACUACGUGCCAGCCGCCGCGGUAAUUC